CUAGAUUUUGACUGCCGUUACGGAUCGGCUUAGAUAACGGGCCUGCGUUUUUGGCUGCCUUGGUACAGAAGACGGCAAAGGUGUCCAAGACACACAGGGCCACGGAAUCUCACAGGUGUCUGAGAAUUUCUCCUCUUGGGACUCUCAAAGGAUCCAGAACUGCAGCCAGUCCUCGCUUUGCUGUCCCUGUUCCUGUCCAUGUAUCUGGUCACGGUGCUGAGGAACCUGCUCAGCAUUCUGGCUGUUAGCUCUGACUCCCCGCUCCACACUCCCGUGUACUUCUUCCUCUCCAACCUGUGCUGGGCUGACAUGGGUUUCACCUCGGCCACGGUUCCCAAGAUGAUUGUGGACAUGCAGCCGCAUAGCAGAGUCAUCUCUCAUGCGGGCUGCCUGACACAGAUAUCUUUCUUGGUCCGUUUUGCAUGUAUAGAAGGCAUGCUCCUGACUGUGAUGGCCUAUGACUGCUUUGUAGCCAUCUGUCGCCCUCUGCACUACCCAGUCAUCGUGAAUCCUCACCUCUGUGUCUUCUUCGUUUUGGUGUCCUUUUUCCUCAGCCUGUUGGAUUCCCAGCUGCACAGUUGCAUUGUGUUACUAUUCACCAUCAUAAAGACUGUGGAAAUCUCUCAUUUUGUCUGUGACCCCUCUCAACUUCUCAAACUUGCCUGUUCUGACAGCGUCAUCAAUAGCGUAUUCAUAUAUUUCGAUAGUACUAUGUUUGGUUUUCUUCCCAUUUCAGGGAUCCUUUUGUCUUACUAUAAAAUUGUCCCCUCCAUUCUAAGGAUUUCAUCAUCAGAUGAGAAGUAUAAAGCCUUCUUCAACUGUGGCUCUCACCUAGCAGUUGUUUGCUGGUUUUAGGGAACAGGCAUUGGCAUGUACCUGAUUUCAGCUGUGUCACCACCCCCCAGGAAUGGUGUGGUGGCAUCAGUGAUGUACACUGUGGUCACCCCCAUGCUGAACCUUUUCAUCUGCAGCCUGAGAAACAGGGACAUACAAAGUGCCCUGCGGAGGCUGCGCAGCAGAACAGUGGAAUCUC
rnacentral:lncRNA from 1 species